rnacentral:lncRNA from 1 species
CUUUGUGAUGAAAAUAUGGAAGGGGUAAGAAGUAAAUUACUAAGGGAAGAAGGCACCCCAGUGGAACCAAGAAUAGUUAGGGCAUGUGUCGAUAAGAGCCCAGGAACUCUAGUCAGAAAGAAAAAGAAAGUUCAGAAGAAGAAGGAUUAUCAGGAAAAAAGUUGCAGCAAAAGGCUAUUACUGAAUACUUUUCGUUCCCAGAGGGUGCAUGAAGCGGAGAGGCAACUGCUGAGUGUGCAAGCCGGUCACAGAGCAGCAAGGAUUUUCCAAGAGGCGGCGGCGACUGGCCCUUCCCCGCCUCCUGGCCGGGGAACUAGCUCUUCCACUGCUGCAAGCCCAAAUCUAGACCUGACCUGGAGGCACAGUCUCGCAGGCUCUUGCUCCCUGUGCCCAGUAGCAGUUUGAGUCCGGGACACUCCCCAGGGCCAUCUGGGGCUGUCCAGGCACUACAGCCAGCAGAAGAUGCUACUGGUGUCCCUGAUGUUUGGUCAUUUUCAAUGCAAAUAACUAAGCUACAAUGGUUCUCCCACACCUGGAAGCUGAUGAGUAAUGAGCACUAUUAAGGCUUAUUUCAAAUGUAAAAAAACCUUGAGAUAAUGUACUAAAUUGUUCAGAAGGUUGUUUUCUUAGUAGAAUGCUACAGGAUUUUCUUUAGCCAUCCAGAGUUCCUGCCUUCGUCCCAGUGCCAGUGAAAACGAAAGUGGAAGAAUUUCCAGUGUUGCUGAGAAACAGACGAAACUUCAGAUCAAGCUAGCUGCCUGCAGAACUUACCUGGACUGUGAUUUAAGCUAGCUGCCUGCAGAACUUACCUGGACUGUGAUUUACCUGGACUGUGAGUUAAUCUAUUGAGACACUGCUUUACCUGGACUGAGACAACAAAUUGUAAUCUACAACAAAUUGUAACUCUGUAUCUUUGCUAACAGUGUCAUUGCUGGUAUAAUUUUUCCAAGGGCUUCUUGCAUGGAGCCAUCAAUUGGCUUGGUAUUGUGGCAUUUUGUAUCCUCCCUUUCUUCUCAUAGCAGAUUAUUUGUGGUGUUUAUGUAAAAACCACUAUGGUCGUUAUUUAAAUUAAACAAAAGGGGGAAAUAUUAGAGUCUGUAAACAAGUCAGGAUGGCGCCUGGAAAAUGUUAGAGGGAAUGGUUUGUGAAGUAACACCAGCGAGCCAUUAAGUGUGGAGAUUCCUGA